CCCAAUUCUCCCUCCAUCUCUUUUCCACUCUUCAUCUUCGACUCAGAAUUAGAACACCAUCACCGAGUUCGACUUUGCGGAGGAACACCGUCUUCGACUGAAGUUAUUCAGUAAAAGUCAGCAUAGGUCGAGUAAGAUAAGGGCGUUGUGGUCGAACAAGUCAAAUAGGAAAGACAGGAUCGGGCUUGGACGUUCUCCAGGCCAUAAGCUUUGAAUGGCAGAAUAUAUGAUCACAAAAGAUAUUCAAUCUUAGGUUAGUCUAUGUAUUUGAAGUUUGUAGAAGUUAGAAAUCCCUCAUCGUGGUUUCCCCUUUUUCUCUGGUUUUUUAAACAAAAUUUAAUUCUUGUGAAAAAAAAGAAAAAAACUAGCUUCUUUGAGUAGAUCGUGUUUGACUUUAAUCAUCACAUUUUUUUUUUACUUUAAUCAUCACUUGAUUAUUUCUUUUACACAAAGAUAUUGGUAGGAAGUGGAAGUUUUUUUGGACAUGGGAUGGUAUUGGGAAUAGUGUCUAGAAGUAGUAGUAGACC